rnacentral:rRNA from 1 species
GACGAACGCUGGCGGCGUGCUUAACACAUGCAAGUCGAACGAUGAAGCCGGAGCUUGCUCCGGUGGAUUAGUGGCGAACGGGUGAGUAACACGUGAGCAAUCUGCCCUUGACUCUGGGAUAACUGCGGGACACUGUAGCUACUACCGGAUACGACACCUUGGGGCAUCCCCGGGUGUGGAAAGAAUUUCGGUCAAGGAUGAGCUCGCGGGCUAUCAGCUAGUUGGUGAGGUAAUGGCUCACCAAGGCGACGACGGGUAGCCGGCCUGGGAGGGUGACCGGCCACACUGGAACUGAGACACGAGCCAGACGCAUACGGGAGGCAGCAGUGGAGAAGAGUGGACAGUGGGCGAAAGCCUGAUGCAGGAACGCAGCGUGAGGGAUGAAGGCCUGCGGGUUGUAAACCCCUUUUAGCAGGGAAGAACCGAAAGUGACGGUACCUGCAGAAAAAGCACCGGCUAACUACGUGCCAGCAGCCGCGGUAA